AACGAACGCUGGCGGCAGGCUUAACACAUGCAAGUCGAGCGCCCCGCAAGGGGUGCGGCAGACGGGUGAGUAACGCGUGGGAAUCUACCCAUCUCUACGGAAUAACGCAUGGAAACGUGUGCUAAUACCGUAUACGUCCUUCGGGAGAAAGAUUUAUCGGAGAUGGAUGAGCCCGCGUUGGAUUAGCUAGUUGGUGGGGUAAAGGCCUACCAAGGCGACGAUCCAUAGCUGGUCUGAGAGGAUGAUCAGCCACACUGGGACUGAGACACGGCCCAGACUCCUACGGGAGGCAGCAGUGGGGAAUAUUGGACAGUGGGCGCAAGCCUGAUCCAGCCAUGCCGCGUGAGUGAUGAAGGCCCUAGGGUUGUAAAGCUCUUUCACCGGUGAAGAUAAUGACGGUAACCGGAGAAGAAGCCCCGGCUAACUUCGUGCCAGCAGCCGCAGUAAUAC
rnacentral:rRNA from 1 species